rnacentral:precursor_RNA from 8 species
GCACGGCCAAGCCCCUCUCCCAUCUCCCCCUCGCGCUUCUCUCUCGCAGUCUCCUCCUCCCAAACCGCGAGCGAAAAGGGCGAGGGGGAGAGGAGUCUCGGCGUCUGGGAUGACU